AUUUCACGCUAAAAAAGCAAAACCUUCUCGAUUGAUUUAAAAUGUGAUUUUGAACAAGUAGUGCCAACUUUAACAUUUGAAUAUUAUAUGUUUAUAUGUAUGUAUUGUUAUACCUGACUGCGCAAAGAUCGCGCGCAGGUUCCAUAUUGUAUUCAGGAUUGUAGCCAAUCAACGAGCGGUAUUAACGCUAUAAUAACAGAAGACGGGUAUCGUACAUUCGUCCUUUCGGUUCGGAUGUGGUAAGAUGUACCAUCGUGCAGAAGAUAUAAUUUCGUACCUGCCACGCGUAUAUCAGUUAGUAAUAAGUACUAAGUGAAGAAUUACGCAGUUAAUUUGUUAAAUUUUCGUCGAGCACAAAUACGAAAAUAUGUAAAAUGGUUCAUUGCUUUAUUCAGGAGCUUCCAAAGUCUUUGGGUCUCCAGAAACGUGCGGAUUUGAAACGAGCGAAGCAAACCUAUUCCUCUGUAAGGCAUAUCGUUAUAUAUCUACUUUUAUGCUGAAAUGCUAAAUAUUAUCCAGUCUUCGUCUUUUUGUAUAUCCAUUACCUCGACAUCGCCGCUACGAAGGAAAUAGUUUACUGAAGUAAAAGAUAAAAAUGUCAACAUUAUUGUGCCCUUGAAUAUGAAUGUUAUUUGAAUUACAAGGUCCAAAAUAAGAAGCUAUAAGUAGAUUUUUAUUACCGUCUCUUGUAACUUUCAGUUAGAAGAGUUACAUACCAAGGUUAAUUUUUUUGUACUGUUCUUUGUUGUAAACAUAUCAACACGCUUGCUAUCACCUUCACGCUCGAACAGAGAAAGUUAAGUAAACCUUUGUAAAUAUCUCGACAUCGCUCUUAAGAAUAUGAAAGAAAUUAGCAAUGUUAAAUGAAGGAAAUAUUUUGUUUUAUAAACAAGAUUUUAUUUUCCUGGUACAUGAGAUAAUUCACGGCAUGAUACUUAUUAAAUCGUUGAAUUACGAUUGCUACGUUCAUGGAAUGCCAAGUGGAAACUGUAGUUUUAAUUAUAAUAUAAAAGUGGA